rnacentral:tRNA from 1 species
GCGCGAGUGGUGAAAUGGCAUACACUUACGUUUGAGGGGCGUAUGGCGAAAGCCGUGUGGGUUCAAGUCCCACCUCGCGCACCA